GAGGUUUGAUCCUGGCUCAGAAUGAACGCUGGCGGCAGGCCUAACACAUGCAAGUCGAACGGAGUUAUAUUGUUAGCUUGCUAUGGUAGUAACUUAGUGGCAGACGGGGUGAGUAAUGUAUAGGAAUCGUACCUAGUAGUACGGAAUAAUUGUUGGAAACGGCAACUAAUACCAUAUACGCCCUACGGGGGAAAAAUUUAGUUGCUAUUAGAUGAGCCUAUAUUAGAUUAGCUAGUUGGUGGAGUAAUAGGCCUACCAAGGCAAUGAUCUAUAGCUGAUCUGAGAGGAUGACCAGCCACACUGGAACUGAGACACGGUCCAG
rnacentral:rRNA from 1 species